GGGGAACGGGAAGAACCUUACCUGGGUUUGACAUGCAGAAAACAUCCGGAGAAAGCCGGUCUCCUUAGGGGCCUCGCACAGGGGGUGCAAGGCCGUUGUCAACCUGUUUCGUUAAAAGUUGGGUUAAGUCCCCCAAAGAGGGCCACCCUUGUUCCUAGGUUCCCACCGGGUCAACCGGGGCCUUUUGGGAGACCUGCGGGGGCUAAUCGGGAGGAAGUGGGGGAUGAGUUCAAUUCUCCAGGGCCUUACGUCCAGGGGUGCCAACAUGCUACCAUGGGCGGUACAAAGGGGUGCCAUACCGCGAGGGGGAGCGAAUCCCAAAAAGCCGGUCUCAGUUCGGAUUGGCGUCUGCAACUUGACCCCAUGAAGUCGGAAUCGCUAGUAAUCCGGGAUCCGGGCA
rnacentral:rRNA from 1 species